rnacentral:rRNA from 1 species
AUUGAACGCUGGCGGCAUGCCUUACACAUGCAAGUCGAACGGCAGCACGGGUGCUUGCCCCUGGUGGCGAGUGGCGAACGGGUGAGUAAUACAUCGGAACAUGUCCUGUAGUGGGGGAUAGCCCGGCGAAAGCCGGAUUAAUACCGCAUACGAUCUACGGAUGAAAGCGGGGGACCUUUGGGCCUCGCGCUAUAGGGUUGGCCGAUGGCUGAUUAGCUAGUUGGUGGGGUAAAGGCCUACCAAGGCGACGAUCAGUAGCUGGUCUGAGAGGACGACCAGCCACACUGGGACUGAGACACGGCCCAGACUCCUACGGGAGGCAGCAGUGGGGAAUUUUGGACAAUGGGCGAAAGCCUGAUCCAGCAAUGCCGCGUGUGUGAAGAAGGCCUUCGGGUUGUAAAGCACUUUUGUCCGGAAAGAAAUCCUUGGCUCUAAUACAGUCGGGGGAUGACGGUACCGGAAGAAUAAGCACCGGCUAACUACGUG